rnacentral:lncRNA from 1 species
AGGAUAUCUUCACAGUGAAAUACCAUGUAAUUAUAAAAAAGAAUAGAAAAUGAUUCAUUUAUUACAUUGAAAUGAAAUAAUAUUUGAAAUAUAUUAAGUGGAAAAAGCAAGAUAGAGUAGUAGGUAAGAUGGAAACUACCAUUUGUGUAAAAAUAUAGGAAGAGAUAUGUAUACAUAUAUUUAUACAUUUGCCCACACAUUUUCUCUCUCACACACAUGCAUAUAAAUUAUCUCCAAAGAUUACGUAAGAAACAUUGGUUGUCAGGGUUUUCAGAGGGUAGGGUAACUAGAUUCUUAGGGCCCAAGGGCAGGAUAUUGACUUUCAUAAGGUUUUAUACUUAUUGUUAACACUUUUAGAAUUUUUAACCAAGUGAUUUUUAUCUGUGAAAAAAGAUUUUGAAAAUUUACCUCCCUUACCCUUUCUAGUCAUCGUUCAUCUCAGGACCUGGUAAUAUUUUCUCCGUACCAUGUAUCUCCAUCUGAAAUUCUUAUUCUUCUGUUUAUUUCUCUAACAUCCUUUCUAGACUAUAGACUCCUUCAGAGCAGUGACUAGGUCUGUCUUGCUGGUACCUGAAGACUUGUUGGAUAAAGGAACUGGCUCCACGGGAUGAGUGACCCUGACUGAAGAAAGAAAGGAAGGAGAAAUGAACAAUGAACAAUUCCAGAGAUUUUGAGACAUGGCAAUUGGACUUUCUGUCAGGGUAAACAUCACCGGUUGGACCAUAUAUUAUGGGAGCACCUUUUGCAAGGAUGAAAUAUUCAGUCUGGGUAAGGCAUUUUCACUGAAGCUUAUAGCUGUUUGUUUAGUUAUUUAAAUCAGGUUGAUAGAUGUAAAGUGAGCUCCUUCUACUCACCUGAAGCAGAAACAGUGCUAGGUGAUACUCAGAUCUCUGGGGACCCAAGAAGACUCCAAACCUCAGCAUCCCUUGAAAUAGGUGGCAAUGUGUAACAGCAUUCUAGCCAAUGUCACAUAUUUUACAUCCAGGACUGACCCCUGAAACAUUCUGCAUGAUCCUUCCACAUUCUUUUUUCCUUUUCUACUGGAUGGAUGGGAAUAAUUCAGCUUGGGAUUUGGAGGCCCUAAAAGGCAGUAUAGC